rnacentral:rRNA from 1 species
AACGAACGCUGGCGGGAUGCCUAACACAUGCAAGUCGAACGAGACCUUCGGGUCUAGUGGCGCACGGGUGCGUAACGCGUGGGAACCUGCCCUUAGGUUCGGAAUAACUCCCCGAAAGGGGUGCUAAUACCGGAUAAUGUCUUCGGACCAAAGAUUUAUCGCCUUUGGAUGGGCCCGCGUUGGAUUAGCUAGUUGGUAGGGUAAAAGCCUACCAAGGCGACGAUCCAUAGCUGGUCUGAGAGGAUGAUCAGCCACACUGGGACUGAGACACGGCCCAGACUCCUACGGGAGGCAGCAGUGGGGAAUAUUGGACAAUGGGCGAAAGCCUGAUCCAGCAAUGCCGCGUGAGUGAUGAAGGCCUUAGGGUUGUAAAGCUCUUUUACCCGGGAUGAUAAUGACAGUACCGGGAGAAUAAGCUCCGGCUAACUCCGUG